rnacentral:misc_RNA from 1 species
AUUCAAAUGGGUUUUCUCUGUGUUCAAGCAAAUGGUUUUUCUCUAUGGAAAAUUGAUUUGAAGUAUCAAACUGUGGCCGGUGAAGAUCUCCAUGUCUAACCCAAUGAGCAAUGUUGGAAAGUUUUUAUUUGUAAUUCUUUGUUUGGGAAUUUUGGUUCUUUGUGUCAAGAAUAUUGGGUUUUGUUAAUCUGGAAAAUGGGGUUUGUUUCUCUGGAAAAGACAACAGUUCUGAGAAAAUGAUUUAUAAAAACCAGAAACAAGUUUCAUUUUUUUUUAGGAAUAAAAACAAAAAAACUACAAUGGUACUGAACAUCCCCCAAGUUGUUAUUAUCAGUUGGAAGAUGAGUUAUUAUCAGUUGGAAGAUGAGACAUUCAUUAUAUCUUCAAUGGA